rnacentral:lncRNA from 1 species
AUAAAGUAUAUUUUUUUUCUCUUUUUUCUUUCAAAUAUUUUGAAAUAUCAUAUAAGAGGAAGUUUAAAUAACUAAAUUUUCAUUUUAUAGUAAGAAAUGAAUUUUAAUGCUACAUUGGCUUCAUUAAUAUGUGUUGUAUAUCACAAAAUAAAUAUUAAUAAUAAUCAAAAUAAUAUAAAAAUUAUUGAUACGGAGUCUAUCCAACUUUUAAUAAAUGCAAGGCACCAAUUGAACCCAUGCACUGAAGAGGAAAAGCACAUGGCCGAUGUACGGAAAAUGACGUAUAUAUUUAUCAAAUGACAAAAACAAUAGCCAAGAUCAUUUGGAUGCCAUCACAGCCAUCUGAUUCCCAUCACGUGCACUGCAGGUGUCCAACUUUGGUAGUUUAUAAACACACUUCCGCUUUAAUUCCUGUACUCCAAUCAUUUCUACCUUACGAGGAUCGACACGCGGAGAACUGAAUCAACGGGAGUGCACUUUCCAAAUUACGAAGAUAUCUAUAGGGGGCCAUCAAACCUAAGCCACGUGUAAAGAGACCAGCAACUCUACGGACGAGAUGAAGCAGCAUCUCUACGGACGUGAUCGAGCAGGGAUAGCUAAGUGGUGCCCCCGGCCCGAGCUUGGGCCUAUAUAUAGUCUACCACGGGAGAAGACGAGGGUUUUCGAGGCAUCGCUUCUGUUGUUGCGGCUGUGCUUCCUUUGUCGGGAGG